CGCGGCCGCCUGGGUCACUCACUGCGCAGCCGCGGCCGCCUGAGUCACUGCGCAGCUGCGGCCGCUGGGCUCCGGGACAGGCGCCGAGAUAAUUACAUGAAGAACUCGGGCCCGUGAAUAAUCUAACAAGUCUGACAACAACAGCAAGGGCAACGUCCAGUUUCCAAAGACAGCAGGAGUUCUGGCAGCAGUGGUCAGUGUCCGACACCAAUGUGUUCUCAAGCGGCUGAGGCAGCUGUCUUCAUGGGAUCAUCUCUGUGACAUGACUGUGAACACCGUUCCCGGUAUCUGGUUAACAAGCUAGCUCCUGGCCCACCAAUUCUGUGAUUUCUCCCUUAUCAUUUUUAUAUGUGCUAAAAUUGAAAUAUCCAUAAAAGCUGCAAUUUAGUUUGACAAUAAAGCACAAGAUUUAGAAUA